rnacentral:lncRNA from 1 species
GUAAUUUAGCUAAAAAAUCAGGGUAUAAUUCAUUGUGACCUUGUUUAACAGUAGGAGCUUGGCCUGGGGUGCGUAAUUUAUCCCAAGCUCUCAUACACACCUUUGUUACUUGUUCCGUGGUAACAGCAUCAAAGCCUAAUUGGGCAUAAAUAUCAGAGAAGUCAUCGGAGCCUGUGAGCUGAGCCUGAGUAAUUAGAAUGCCAUCAGCCCGAUUUAGCUGAGCCUGCAGACGGGCCUCCUCUGACCACCAGGAGAAUUAUUUGCAAAGAAAAUGAAGAUUCCAUAAUCCUCUGAAUGAAAUACUGUAUCUGCUAUACUGUUAGCCUAUUUCAGAAUGGGAGUUCAACUAAGAAGAGAGACACCGAUUGACUGACUACAUUUAUGAGAAAGGGUUGAACACAUUCAUGCACUGUUUUUUAAGUUUUACUGAGAAAUAAUUGGUAUACGAAAAACUGUUCGCAUAUUUACUGUGUAUGAUUUGGUAAGUUUGGACAUGUGCAAAUACCUGUGAAAUCAUCACCACAAUCAAGAUGGAGUCUCGCUGUGUUGCCCAGGCUGUAGUGUCAUGGCACAAUCUCGGCUCACUGCAACCUCUGCCUCCUGGGUUCAAGCGAUUCUCCUGCCUCAGCCUCCCAAGUAGCUGGGACUACAGGUGUGUGCCACCACGCCGGGCUAAUUUUUUGUGUUUUUAGUACAGACGGGGUUUCACCGUGUUAGCCACAAUGGUCUUGAUCUCCUGACCUCAUGAUCUGCCUGCCUCGGCCUCCCAAAGUGCUGGGAUUACAGGUGUGAGCUACCACGCCCGGCCACUUUUUUGUAUCUUAGUUUCUUCAUUCACUAAAUAGAGAUAGUAAUUAUACUUCAAGGGUUUUCUGUGUGAACUAAAUGAGCGAAUACCUGAGAAGCAUGUAUAAUAAUUGAGUAACAACACAAUAGGUGCUAAGUAUUCAUCAUUUUUCUUCUAUUUAACCCCCACCCUUUUUAUUGUAAAUUGACAAUUUACAGUUAUAUAAAUGUAUGAGGUACAAAGAGAUGUUAUAAUUUUAAGUACAAUGUGGAAUAUUUAAAUCAAGCUAGUUAACAUAUCCAUCACUUCAAAUUCUUAAGAUUUUUUGCAGUGAGAACAUUUGAAAUUAACUCACUUACUAAUUUUGAAAUGUAAUAUUCUAUAAUUAACUAUAUUCACCAUGCUGUGCAAUAGAACUCUAAAAAGAAAAAAAAGCAUAUUCCUUCUGAGAUCUUAUAUCCUUCAUCUCCACCCUACUUACAGAUAUUUAUUGUAAGAUUUCCUCUGCUGUCCAUUCUGCACCAAGGUGACUAAUUAGCACCUUUAAUGCUCACAUAGGACCUCUUCCCUAUUAAAACCAAUACUGAGCCUCCUAACGAGGUACUGAGGUGUGUCAGAUUAGUGCUAUGUACUUAAUAGUCAUCUGUGUGCUGCAACUGUGUUGUCUGUAGAUGUGAGGAGAAUGCUUUCCUGCCCACGUUUUCUGUAAUACUUUGUCACAUACUCAAAGGCAAAGCUGCCUUUCUUCCUAGAUACACAAUCUUCAGUGAAGUUAGCUCUCUGAGUAUUUUGCAAAGCUCCCAAGUUUAAAAAUCUAAGAAAUACUAACACAUGCAAAUUUAAUGCAAAAAAUAAAGUGAGUCAUUUUCUCCCUCUUAUAAAAACCAAGAUAAAUACAGUUAUUACCAUGAAAAGAAAUGUAGAAUUGCUUUCUUUUAUUAUGCCUCAACUUAAAGGGCCACAUGCCUUAUUUGAAAAGCUGAGUUUUUAUUUCAUGAUGAGAUAUGUUUUUAUAUCACUUUUCAGGUAAAAUAUUCCUUAGAGCAAAAAGGGCAUUUUUAGGGCUAAUAGGUUCUGCUCUCAUUAACACUAAAAGUUAUGAAUGCUUUUAGAUUUUUACCUAGGGGAAAACAUAGCAAAUGCAAACUGUCAACUCAUAUAUAUACAUCUGAAAAUCUCAAUCAAGCACUGUGAAGCCUUGUCAGGAAAAAUACUUAUCCUCUUGAUUUAAAGAGUGUAACUUUUGUCCCUAGUGAAAAAGAAACUUUUAAUUAUUAAAAGCUUAUACUGGUCCAUAGUUGACAUCUAAUUUAUUUUAUCACAUCAAAUAUGUUGUAAGAUAUAAGAAAUAUUUUAGAAUGUUCAGAAUUAUUUCACAGGUGUUUAGGAUAACUGAGUACUGCUCUUAGUAUUUUUGAAUUACAAACAUCUCAAUUACUAGAAGUCUAAUCAAUGUCCAUCAAUACCAAAUGAAGAGAAUUUGUGGGACAGUGCAAAGUGUUCUUAAUUGGCUUUGCGGAUGCUUGAAUUUAUUUCCUGGUGCUCCAAUAGAAGUUGUGACAUUGGUGAAUCCAUUUAGCUUCUUCUCUUUCUAGUUUCCAUGUCUAACAAUUAUAGACUUUGGCUAAAUAUGCUCUGUAGUCCACCUUAGAGGCAAACUAUUCAGAGUUUUUUUCUUUCCCUGCCAAAUUUCUGUGCAUUUGAGUACUCAAUAAAGAGAAGAAUUUUAUAAAAUGCAGCUGAGUAAUAGAAGACAUGGUCCACCUCACAAGGAAUCAAAUAAUGCAAAUCACUAUGUGUUUAAUGAUUUAUAGAUUUUAGCAUUUCCACUGACAAUUAGCAAAGAAGAAAAAGGCUAAUUAUAACUAGUAUAGGCAUGGACAUAGGAAAAUGGGCACUUUCUAAAACUGCUGAAACAAGUAUACAUAUUAGUAAAGUAUUUAUAGAUAGUAAUUUUCCAAAAUGAAUAAAAAGCAAUAAAAAAUCUUUUAAUCUAAUAAUCUAGAUUCUCAGAAUUUACGCUGAGAUGAUAGGUACAUUUACAAAGGUAAUUUACAUUUAUACUUAAGAAUAUUUAGCAUAAAAUUCUUUAUUAUAGCCAAAGGAAAAUACGAAAUAUGAAAACAUAAAUGAAGAAUAGGAGAUUAGUUACAUGAAUGUUGAUGGGUCUCUGUACAGUUAGGGCAUGCAUGGGCUUUAUGAGUCAAAGAGCCUGAUUCAUUUCAUGACUCUGAAGCUUUCUAGUAUUAUUUUCUUGUAUAAAUUGCUUAAGCACUCUAACUCUGUUUCUGACCCUUUAAAGUGGAAUUAACAAUGGUAUCUUUAUCAGAAUGCUGUCAUUAGAAUUAAAGAAGAUAUGAUUUGUACCGGCCCUUGCACUACUAACUGUCAAUUUUAGUAUAAAUCCACAUAAUAGGCACUCUAGGAAUCUGUUAAUAGUGAUCAUGCAAAGCUAUGUCAAUUCACAUCAGAGGUCAUUCUUAACUACUUGCUAAGUUUAAAAAAAUAAACAGUUGCAUGGCAGCAAUGUAAUACACAAAGUACAUUUUGAUUUUAAAUACAGUGAAAGAGAAUAAAAAGCCUGCAUAUAAAUAUUUAAUUUUUAUUUUCUAUUUUUUAUAUGAUAUUCACAGAUAAU